rnacentral:snoRNA from 1 species
UGGAUCAGUGAUGAUGACUGCCGGCGUACGAGGCCCAGAUGAUGAGUGAUACGUGUCUGAAACUCUGAGGUCCAG